AACCUGACGUCCACUUCUGCAUAACAUUUAUGCAGUUUUGAACUUCUUUUUUUUUUUCCCUUUUUUUUUCUUUUUUCUUUUUUUUUUAUACAGUAUGUGACUAUGGAGGCGGGGCGGUUAAUGUCCAAGACUCUUCCACCGAAAAUAAACCUGCAUGCGGGGAAGAGAGAAAGCAGAGGAAGGGAGGAGGAAAGGAAGGCAAAGGGCCCUUCAGCGGGGACACAAGAGAAAACAUGAGAAUUAAAACUGCGCAGUUUUUUCUGCGGAGUGCCUGCGUGGACCUUCCUCUCAUGCGUGGAGCGGAUUGGAUAGGAGGUUCCGUCAAUCCCUUCCGUUUCGUAUCUUCAAUGAUCGUGCGAUUUUUUUCCCCACCAGAUGGUUCCUGGUAUUGGAGGAGGAGGAGGAGAAGCGAUCAUGCCUUGCCCAUGGGCCAACACCUCCACUGCCGGCAUGCGCAUGUUUGCCGUCAUGGAUGUGCAGUGGAAGCGAUGUUUUUUUUUUUUGGACUGGUUUGUUUUUGCGCCAGAAGAGAGGAGAUGCUUGUUUUUGGAAUGAAAAAACUAUGAGGCAUAUUCCCAGGCAGAUGUUUGGGCAAGGUGAUGGAUGUAAAGGAUUUUGGGACAUGACUGCCUUUGACCAUGAAUGUCAAGUUUUGAGGAUGUUGGUGAUGAGGAGGUGAGGGAUGCUCCAUGAUAGGAAGACGAGCAGCAGCAUGAAGAAGAGUGUCUGCAGAACCAUCGGAGGUGAUCUUCCACUCUCGAUCUCCCCUCCCACCCUUCUGGGGCCUUCCCCAGGCAGCGUGGCACACCGUGAGGCCUGGCCGUGAUCCAAGAGAGCCCGCCUGUGCCUGCCUGCUUCCCUUGAGAGUGCAGACAAAGCUGGGACGAGGCCAGAUGCUCCACUCUGUCGCUUUAUUGCUUUUUUUUACCCUCCUCUUCAGUCCUUGUUUGCUACUUUGGCUCUUUAUUUCUUCUUCACACUUCAUUCACCUUAAGGGUGUUUUCCUUUUUCUUCUGAACAAAUAUAUAUGAUAUGUAAGUAACAAACACAAGCAUGUGUGUUGCAGUGCUGCCUUUGUGUGUGGCCCCCCCACAUCAAACUAAACAGUAAAAGUGAGCGCU